AGGGAUUUGUUCCGAUCGGGUUGGGUCGUGACAGUGGGGUCGGUUGCGCAGGCGCGUUGGAGGAGAGGGACAUGUCUAAGCGACAGUGUGCGAAUUGAUAGCGGAUCUGAUCGUGUGCUGGAGCAAAUGAGAGGAUCAAACACGAAGACGCUAGGAUGGUUGUCGACGAUCAUAUUCUGUCUAGGAAUGAAUGAAAUUAGAACAUGAAUCAAUCAUUGGAUCAAGUGAUGUAUUCACUUGAGCUGCCCAAAGGGCUUCGCGGCUUCGAUCAUCAUCCAUCGCCCAUCUUCUUCGGAUCGUCGAUAGCUCAUCUUCUUCGGAGCAAAGAUUCUAGAUGAAGGAAGGAAAUAUAACACACAAGCCACUAACCUGAAUGAGAAUGGAAGUAAAUUUACAGUAUUCACGCAUGUCUUCUUCAGAAAUUUUCAAUGGUAUGUCCCUUCCAGAAAAGAUAAAUUUAUUUAAAAGUUUUGCUGCAGGCCUCAAAACUCAGCAGAAUGGUCCUAUCGUUUACACAUCAAGCAAAUUUCAAUUGGAGAUAUCUCAGAUGACCAACAAUAAGCCAACAAUAUUAGCAGGGUAAAGAGAAGCUGAAUUCUCAUCCAUGAAAAAUUGUGGGAGCAAACCUCUAUAUGGCUUUUUGCCAUUUCACAUCAUCGUCGAAGCGCCGGUAACUACUCGCUUUGUCCAGUAUAUGCAAUGUCACAUCAUCAAAAUCAAAGGAGACCUUUUUGAACUUUUCUGCCCAAAUCAAGGCUCUCUCAGCCAGCCCUUGUUUACAGAAAUGAGACAGAAGGAGGUUGACCGUAA